GAUGAACGCUGGCGGCGUGCCUAAUACAUGCAAGUCGAGCGAACGGACGAGAAGCUUGCUUCUCUGAUGUUAGCGGCGGACGGGUGAGUAACACGUGGAUAACCUACCUAUAAGACUGGGAUAACUUCGGGAAACCGGAGCUAAUACCGGAUAAUAUUUUGAACCGCAUGGUUCAUAAGUUAAAGACGUUCUUGCUGUCUCUUCUAGAUGGAUCCGCGCUGCAUUAGCUAGUUGGUAAGGUAACGGCUUACCAAGGCAACGAUGCAUAGCCGACCUGAGAGGGUGAUCGGCCACACUGGAACUGAGACACGGUCCAGACUCCUACGGGAGGCAGCAGUAGGGAAUCUUCCGCAAUGGGCGAAAGCAUGACGGAGCAACGCCGAGUGAGUGAUGAAGGUCUUCGGAUCGUAAAACUCUGUUAUUAGGGAAGAACAUAUGUGUAAGUAACUGUGCACAUCGUGACGGUACCUAAUCAGAAAGCAACGGCUAACUACGUG
rnacentral:rRNA from 1 species